rnacentral:rRNA from 1 species
GACGAACGCUGGCGGCGUGCCUAAUACAUGCAAGUCGAACGCUUCUUUCCUCCCGAGUGCUUGCACUCAAUUGGAAAGAGGAGUGGCGGACGGGUGUGUAACACGUGGGUAACCUACCCAUCAGAGGGGGAUAACACUUGGAAACAGGUGCUAAUACCGCAUAACAGUUUAUGCCGCAUGGCAUAAGAGUGAAAGGCGCUUUCGGGUGUCGUUGAUGGAUGGACCCGCGGUGCAUUAGCUAGUUGGUGAGGUAACGGCUCACCAAGGCCACGAUGCAUAGCCGACCUGAGAGGGUGAUCGGCCACACUGGGACUGAGACACGGCCCAGACUCCUACGGGAGGCAGCAGUAGGGAAUCUUCGGCAAUGGACGAAAGUCUGACCGAGCAACGCCGCGUGAGUGAAGAAGGUUUUCGGAUCGUAAAACUCUGUUGUUAGAGAAGAACAAGGACGUUAGUAACUGAACGUCCCCUGACGGUAUCUAACCAGAAAGCCACGGCUAACUACGUG